GCGCGUAAAUUGCCCGAAUCCUGACACAGGGAGGUAGUGACAAGAAAUAACAAUACAGGGCCACUUCGGUCUUGUAAUUGGAAUGAGUACAAUUUACAUCUCUUCACGAGGAUCAAUUGGAGGGCAAGUCUGGUGCCAGCAGCCGCGGUAAUUCCAGCUCCAAAAGCGUAUAUUAAAGUUGUUGCAGUUAAAACGCUCGUAGUCGGGUUUCGGGUCGGGCCGAGCGGUCUGCCGAUGGGUAUGCACUGUUUGGCGCGGCCUUCUUUCCGGAGACCGCGGCUACUCUUAACUGAGCGGGCGUGGGAGACGGAUCGUUUACUUUGAAAAAAUCGGAGUGUUUCAAGCAGGCAGCUCGCUCUUGCAUGGUACAGCAUGGGAUGAUUGAAUAGGACUCCGGUGCUAUUUUGUUGGUUUCGAACACCAGGAGUAAUGAUUAACAGGGACAGUCAGGGGCACUCGUAUUCC
rnacentral:rRNA from 1 species